AGUGAAUGCUGGCGGUAGGCCUAACACAUGCGAGUCGAACGGCAGCACAGUAAGAGCUUGCUCUUACGGGUGGCGAGUGGCGGACGGGUGAGGAAUACAUCGGAAUCUACUUUUUCGUGGGGGAUAACGUAGGGAAUCUUACGCUAAUACCGCAUACGACCUACGGGUGAAAGCAGGGGAUCUUCGGACCUUGCGCGAUUGAAUGAGCCGAUGUCGGAUUAGCUAGUUGGCGGGGUAAAGGCCCACCAAGGCGACGAUCCGUAGCUGGUCUGAGAGGAUGAUCAGCCACACUGGAACUGAGACACGGUCCAGAAGCCAACGGGAGGCAGGAGUGGGAAAUAUGGGAAAAGGGGAGCAAGCCUGAACCAGCCAUGCCGCGUGGGUGAAGAAGGCCUUCGGGUUGUAAAGCCCUUUUGUUGGGAAAGAAAAGCAGCAGGUUAAUACCCCGCUGUUCUGACGGUACCCAAAGAAUAAGCACCGGCUAACUUCGU
rnacentral:rRNA from 1 species